AUGACGGUUUCGUUAAACAUCAAUGUGAAGCGAAACUCGGGAUUAAUCAACUCUGGCGAUCUACUAUGUUCUUGCUACGAUCUACUUCUUCAAUCUUCACUUCAGGGUAACAUUGAUUCUAUGAAGCUCAUUAUGAAUGCGGCGAAGGACUUUAGUAAUGCUACGGGCCUUAAGAUGAGUAUGCCAAAGAGCAAAAUCUAUUUUGGUGGUGUGGAUGAUACAACCCAAGAGCUUAUUCAACAUAAAACUGGUUUUGAGAAUAAAUCAUUGGAGUAG